rnacentral:rRNA from 1 species
AACGAACGCUGGCGGCAUGCCUAACACAUGCAAGUCGAACGAGACCUUCGGGUCUAGUGGCGCACGGGUGCGUAACGCGUGGGAACCUGCCCUUAGGUUCGGAAUAACUCCCCGAAAGGGGUGCUAAUACCGGAUAAUGUCUUCGGCCCAAAGAUUUAUCGCCUUUGGAUGGGCCCGCGUUGGAUUAGCUAGUUGGUAGGGUAAAAGCCUACCAAGGCGACGAUCCAUAGCUGGUCUGAGAGGAUGAUCAGCCACACUGGGACUGAGACACGGCCCAGACUCCUACGGGAGGGAGCAGUGGGGAAUAUUGGACGAUGGGCGAAAGCCUGAUCCAGCAAUGCCGCGUGAGUGAUGAAGGCCUUAGGGUGGUAAAGCUCUUUUACCCGGGAUGAUAAUGACAGUACCGGGAGAAUAAGCUCCGGCUACCUCCGU